rnacentral:lncRNA from 1 species
AGUACCUUCUGGGGAAUAUUGUUCGAUGGCGUUCGGUCGUUGACAGAAGCACAACACGUGGUUGAUUAUACUGGAGAGGACGGAUACGGGACAGUUAGUGUUAUACUCAUGGUAUGCUUCUUGUUCACGUGCAUUGUUAUCCUCCUCAACAUCCUCAUUGCACAAGUGACUGAUACAUAUCAGAAGGUCCAACAAGAUGCGCAGAGAGGUUAAGAGGUCAACAGAGCAUGGAUCGUGGCCAAAGUGGAGUUAAACAGUUUUUUCUGUAGAAGAGACUUUAGAAAAUCUCACUAUGCGGAGUAUGAAGACAUAGAGGACCUUAAAGACGUUCUAACAAAAUAGGAUUCUCCACCACUGAAUGAAAUGAACAAGUAUGUCAAAGACAUAUGGGAUACCUUAGAUAAUCAUAAGAUGAACCUUCUUACGAUACAACAUAGGUUGGUUCGUCAGGAAAAUACUUUGCGGAAUAUACAAGAUCAGUUGCAUUGCCUAGUUGCUAUGAACACAACAGGAUCCUACGAUAUACCAGGCGCAGGUCCACAGUUUUCUCAGAGACCGAAGUUCUAUCGCCGUAAUACGGAACAAAAUUAUUUCAUUCAAUAUGACGACAAGAUUGACAACAG